GAUGAACGCUAGCGGGAGGCCUAACACAUGCAAGCCGAGGGAGACAUCAGACUCGUCUGAUAGACACCGGCGAACGGGUGCGUAACGCGUAUGCAACCUGCCCUUAUCUGGAAGAUAGCCCAGAGAAAUUUGGAUUAAUAUUCCAUAAAAACCAGACAGGCAUCUGUCAAGUUUAAAAAUUCCGAUGGAUAAGGAUGGGCAUGCGUCUGAUUAGGUAGUUGGUGAGGUAACGGCUCACCAAGCCAACGACCAGUAGGGGGCCUGAGAGGGUGAUCCCCCACACUGGUACUGAGACACGGACCAGACUCCUACGGGAGGCAGCAGUGAGGAAUAUUGGACAAUGGGUGCAAGCCUGAUCCAGCCAUCCCGCGUGCAGGAUGACGGCCCUAUGGGUUGUAAACUGCUUUUGUCAAGGAAGAAACCUCCCCACGUGUGGGGAUUUGACGGUACUUGACGAAUAAGCAUCGGCUAACUCCGUGCCAGCAGCCGCGGUAACAC
rnacentral:rRNA from 1 species